UACGGGGGGAGCAAGCGUUGUUCGGAUUUACUGGGCGUAAAGGGCGCGUAGGCGGCCAGCACAAGUCAGUUGUGAAAUCUCCGGGCUUAACUCGGAAAGGUCAACUGAUACUGUGCGGCUAGAGUGCGGAAGGGGCAACUGGAAUUCUCGGUGUAGCGGUGAAAUGCGUAGAGAUGUGGAGGAACACCAAUGGCGAAGGCAGCCCCCUGGGAUAACACUGACGCUCAGGCACGAAAGCGUGGGGAGCAAACAGG
rnacentral:rRNA from 1 species